rnacentral:rRNA from 1 species
UACGUAGGGGGCAAGCGUUAUCCGGAUUUACUGGGUGUAAAGGGAGCGUAGACGGUGAUGCAAGUCAGAAGUGAAAGCCCGGGGCUCAACUGCGGGACUGCUUUUGAAACUGCCAAGCUAGAGUGUCGGAGAGGUAAGUGGAAUUCCUAGUGUAGCGGUGAAAUGCGUAGAUAUUAGGAAGAACACCAGUGGCGAAGGCGGCUUGCUGGACAGUAACUGACGUUGAGGCUCGAAAGCGUGGGGAGCAAACAGG